CCACACCAAGGGACAUCUGGGUACACAAACUUGACUCGACUCUUCACGGAUGCUCCUUUCCUGUUUUUAUGCUGGUGAAUCCACAGAACAGGAAGUGUGACUACAAGAAGCUCAUGUUCACUGUGUAGCCAGAGAGUAAAGAGAACCUUUUCUUGUCAACUCUAGUGGGAAAGAGUCCAGGGAAGAGCUCUGAUCACCUGGCCUGGAGCCAAUUCCUACAGCCAGGGAACAGACCUUCAGUGGCCACGUGUUCCUCUGUCACCAGGAAGACAAGGUCUGUUACUAGAAAAAUAAAAAUAAACCUGGCUAUGGGAGAACUGGUAA